CGGUAAUUCCUGUCUCCAAUAGCGUAUACUAAAGUUGUUGCAGUUAAAAAGCUCGUAGUUGGAUUUCUGCUUGAGAGGGACGGCAGGCGUCAUUGACGUUUAGUCUGACUUCUCGUGCAUCCUGUCACGAACCACGUUGCUCUUAAUUGAGUGGCGUCGGGGAUUGACUCGUUUACUUUGAGAAAAAUAGAGUGUUCAAAGCAGGCUUACGCAUCUGAAUAAGUUAGCAUGGAAUAAUGAUAAAGGACUUCGGUUCUAUUUGUUGGUGUUCGGAACUGAAGUAAUGAUUGAUAGGGACAGUUGGGGGCAUCAGUAUUCCGAAGCGAGAGGUGAAAUUCUAGGACCUUCGGAAGACUAACCGCUGCGAAAGCGUUUGCCAAGGAUGUUCCCUUUGAUCAAGAACGAAAGUUGGGGGAUCGAAGACGAUCAGAUACCGUCGUAGUCUCAACUAUAAACUAUACCAGCUAGGGAUCGGCCGGCGUUUAUUUCUAAGGGCCCGGUCGGCACCUUAUGAGAAAUCAAAGCAUUUGGGUUCCGGGGGGAGUAUGGUCGCAAGGCUGAAACUUAAAGGAAUUGACGGAAGGGCACCACCAGGUGUGGAGCCUGUGGCUUAAUUUGACUCAACACGGGAAAACUUACCAGGUCCAGACAUAGUAAGGAUUGACAGAUUGAGAGCUCUUUCUUGAUUCUAUGGGUGGUGGUGCAUGGCCGUUCUUAGUUGGUGGAGUGAUUUGUCUGGUUAAUUCCGUUAACGAACGAGACCCCAGCCUGCUAAAUAGCGCGCGUGUGCUUUUGCACGCGGUGAGCUUCUUAGAGGGACCAUGGCUCGCAACACAGACCAGGGGAGUUUGGGGCAAUAACAGGUCUGUGAUGCCCUUAGAUGUUCUGGGCCGCACACGGGCUACACUGAUGCGUGCAACGAGCAUAUCAGCUGGCUAGAAAUAGUCUUUGGCUAACCUUUUGAACUCGCAUCGUGCUAGGGAUUGACUAUUGCAAUUGUUAGUCAUGCAACGAGGAAUACCUUGUAAACGCGAGUCAUCAACUCGCAUUGAAUACGUCCCUGCCCUUUGUACACACCGCCCGUCGCUCCUACCGAUGAAUGUUCCGAUGAAAUUUUCGGAGGGGUCCGAUGACCCGGGUUUUGCCUGGCGAUCUGGUAUCGCGAAGUUGCUUAAAUCUGAACAUUUCGAGGAAGGAGAAGUCGUAACAAGGUAACC
rnacentral:rRNA from 1 species